CAGGGAGACAACACAAUGAUUUUGAUGCCUGAGUACUUUUAUUCUUAGGCCGAAAUCCUGUCACCUUAGGUCGAUCGGUACCUCAGCUUUGAAGUCAAGGAUCAGCAGCAAUGUUGGUUACUUGAUGGAGAUUUUUAGUUCCUAAACUUUGUCUAGGUCACACCCCAAAAGGGAUGAGACUCCUGGGCCAUUAGCUCAGGUGGUUAGAGCGCACCCCUGAUAAGGGUGAGGUCCCUGGUUCAAGUCCAGGAUGGCCCAUUCGGUGUUGGGGGUUUAGCUCAGUUGGUAGAGCGCCUGCUUUGCAAGCAGGAUGUCAGGAGUUCGAGUCUCCUAACCUCCACUGACCGAACUUGAUUCCCAUCUCCAAUUUUUUGGAGUUGAGCUCGAUUGGAGUGUGAUUUAGAUGUGUCCGCUGGAUGACCCCAGCUUCCUGUCAUCCCAAGUUUUAGAUUUACGUCUUGAAUUUGGUUGAUAAGAUGCUGGGCUCGGAUCAAAUCAUCAAGCAAUUGAUGAUUUGAUUUGAAGUUCUAGCAGAACCUUGACAACUGCAUAGGUGAAGUCUGGAAAAACAAAGCAUCUUACAGAUGCAUUGUUUUGAAUCUGAUCUUCUAAAAGGGAGAUUGGAUCUAUAACAAUGAAAAUUCUUUUGAGCAAGAGCCGAGACUCUUAAGCGUUCUUUGAUUCGUGUCGAGCGAAUCAAAGUUUGAUCUUGUUUUUAGCAAUAAAAACAUGAGAAUCUGCUUUCAACGGCGGUAAGCGUUUAAGAGGUUAGUU
rnacentral:tRNA from 1 species